UAAAAAUUAGUUAAGCAAAAUAACAUAAACUUGUCAAGUUUAAGUCAUCUCUGAAAGAUAUUUUUAA
rnacentral:tRNA from 1 species